ACAUGUGUACCAUAGCCUGGAGUCUGAUGUAUAGUUGCAGUAGGAGACCAUCUGCUUGGCGGCUUGGGCGAGGCAGGCGUCGCAGUCGCCGCCGGAGACGUCGCCGCGGCACUGCGCGAGGCCGUAGAAGGCGUCGUACCCCCUGCCGGCCUUGGAGGUGGCGAAUCCGCCGCCGGUGCGCGCCUUGGCGACAAGGUCGGAGACGACGAAGUUGAUGCUCCGCCGCCUGACGACGGCAUCGCUGCCGUUGAGAUCGCCGUAGUUCAUCCCCGGCUCCCAGCAGAAGCUGCCGAUGGGAUACGUCGUCGUCGUCGCCGCCAUGGCCAGUGGGAGCAAUGCAGCGGCCAAGAAGACUGUAAGUAGCAGCUGGCUUAAUGCCGCCAUGGAUGGCGCCAAUUGCUCUCAAUUCAGCCUCUUGUUGCUACUGGAGUAGCAGUAGUAGUAGCUAGAGAUUUCAGUAGAGGAGGAUGGCUUUAGCUUGUGUUUGAUUGGGAUCGAAUGGUUGGAGUUUAUAUAGAGGGAGGAUUGGAUGGGGAAGGAGGGAUUGAUCGAUUGAUCAAUGUGCUUGCAGAGUUGCAGUAUGUUAACUGCAGGCGAACAGGUUUCAAAAUCCUUGUUCUAAUUGUUUGCAAACUUGUUUUUGACUACUACUGUUCUAAAGGUUUGCAUGCAGACAUGCAGUGAUUAGAACUGUGGGCGCGAAGCUAUAUUAUUGCACGUACGGAUGACACUCUUGCAGAUAUCGCGGACUAGCUAAGCUAGCUGGCUGAGCUGGCUGCUGGCUGCCUGCUUGCUUGCUAGUACCAUUUCUUGUGGGCUGGCUGUCACUAGUUUUGACUUUUGAGGGAUGAGGUGAUGGAUUGGAUAAACCUAUCAUGUCUCUUCACUCUUCUUCAACCAAACAAACCAUGCAUAUAUUUAGGAUUAAGUGGUCAAUUUACUUAUAUUACAUUGCUCAAUCAAUCCAAAACUAAACAGCCCAUAUAUAUUGAGAAACACAACAUAAAUGUAAGCACUCACAAUUAGUUCGCACGCUCACCCUUAUAAAGAUACACACGCACAUGCUCUAAAAAACUAGCUAUUGUUGUCGACGGGUUAAUCGUCUAUACUGAAAGAAUAAUUAGCUGUAAGUGCGAGCACCCACGUCAAAUCGAGAAUUUGAAUCCAGAUAGCUUAGUUCCAGCAUAAGAAAUCUAACCAGUUGAGUUAUACUCUCACUUCACUGAAGAGCCCAUAUAUAUAUAUAUAUAUUAGUGAUGAGUGAAGAUGAAAAAGCUGAAAAACUAUUCGGUUGCAGCGUUGCAGGACACUGUAUAGUUUGAUUGAGUUUGUUUUCGCUGAAUCUGGUUGGAUGAAAAGCAAAUACACUAUCCAAUGAUUUUGCCAAUUUGCAAAUACUAGUUGAUUCUUAGGCAAAAUCCACUGUAUAUAGUCUCCUGUUUCUGCAGCCAAACAGCCCAAAACCCAGUAGCCCACCGAUCGAGAAUCUAAUUGCCCCCGCAAAAAAAAAAAGAGAAUCUAAUUGCGAACACGUGCAUCGAUCCAAUUCCAAACCUCGUGCGAAUUUGGCGCCAUACCGUUUUUGUCUAACGCUAAUGAUGAUUUAUCUCCUAAAUGAUAUACAUGCAUCCGUACACUCAGCUUGCACGAAUCCUGCGCUUGCAUAUUGGGCCUAUUUCAAUUGCCAAUUUAGGCCCAGUAAACAGAAAGUGCAUAGAAUAUUUCUUUUUCCUUUCUAACUUGUUUUUUCAAUUCAAUGUAAAACAUCUAUAAAAUGUAUUAUAAUAGAAGUUUUUUUUCUUAAAGUCCUUUGCAAAGUUUGUAAGUAGAAAGUUUCUUUAUUAUUCAUAAAUUAUCUAGGUGGGAAGUUUACUGCUUACACAAAGUUUUUGAGUGAAACAUUUACUAUCUAUAUACAUAAUGUAUUCUGAUCAAGUAGAAAGUCUGCUAUUUCUGUGGAAAUUUCCCUGGUGUUUAGAUGAUUAUAUACCAAAUAUUCCUUUUGAAAACGAAUGCAUAAUUAAGCGUGAUGGGUUCAAUCGCGUGAAAUGCUAGUUGUUCAAGGGAGUGGAUUCUAACUCUCGACGAGACAUCCCCUCGUUGUUUACAUGUCAUCCAAAUAAUUAUGAAAAAAAUAAAACAAGAUAGAUUAAUAUGUGAUAAAUCACUCCACAAACAUAGUUAAAAUUUAACUUUUACAAGUUGCAACGAAAAAACAAAUUAAACUAUUGCUAACUUGUACUCAAAUUUGUUUUUUUUUUCAUUGCAACUUGUAGAAGUUAAAUUUAACCUCUCGCUGCAGCCACAUGGCAAGGGGCGGCGCUUCACGACUGGAUUGGGCCUUCACGGCCGGAUCUGGUUAUGCAAUGCGGUAGUGGCCGGAUCUAGCCGAGGUCGAGUAGGAGGUGUGUCGCGGCUGGCAGCUGCAGGAUGUCGGCCUCGGGCACUGGCUAACGGCAGCAAGAGGCCGAUCACGGGCGAGGUCGCGGUCGGCACGGCCAACAGCGAUAGGAGGGAGGCCGCGGGCAUGGCGUGGAGCGGUGCGUCUGGCCGGUGGCGGCAGGAGGGCGGCCGCGGGCAUGGCGUGGCGCGGUUGCGAUUGUGGAGGUUAGUGAGGACGACGGUGAGCGCUUACCGCCCGCACCGACAGCUAGGGAUGGGCAUUCGGUCUAACCGAAAAUUUCGGUCUCGGUCUUCGGUCUUUUGGUCUUUGAAAAGUGAAGACUGAAUUUCAGCGAAAAAAUGUCAGGACCGACAAAUUCGGUCUCAGUCUUUUCGGUCUCGGUCUCGGUCCUGACCGAAAUUCAACAACAUUUUCAUAUAUGAAAAGAAAUAAUAGAAAUUUUCAACACAAAAAUCACAAAAAAAAAAUCGUAAGCACUUAUGAGUAAAGACUCUUAUUAGGUUUCAUGCCUAGAAGAAGUAGGGAUGUGAAAAUUAGAGUUUAAUCCUAUUAAACAUAGUGGAUUGUAGGUUGUAUUUAGAUAUUUUUUUUGAUAAUUCAGUCUAUUCGGUUACCCGAGGAGACUAACCGAAUUAACUGAACAAAAUUCGGUCUUUCACUGCCUAGGACCGAAUUGAUGACCGAAUUUCUUGGUCUCGAUCUCGGUCUUUUCGGUUCGGUCUUUUUCUGCCCACCCCUACCGACAGCGGGGGCUAGUAGCAAUGCCGUGGCAAAUAUGUGAGCUUCCGGAGUCAGUUCGUUCUUGCUAGCUAGCCAUUUCCAUCUCCUUCUCCAGGAAACACCUCCCCGGCUAUGGUCGACUCCUUUCGAUUGUGGGGAGCUCUUUUGGUGAGAUGUCGGCAAUGGCGUUUGGAGGACGAUGAUGGUGAUGGGGCUUUUGUCGUGCUGGUCAGCAAUGGGAGCCGCGAGGUUCCCCAUGACCUGCUGGCGAACCGGUGGUAAUGGCGGCUCCAUUUCUUAGGGGACGAUGGUGGCUACAAUUUAGGAUAGAAGGACAACUUGGCACGAUGUGGUUAAAAGUGCUUGCUUGCACACUUGAGAGCGGGCGCAACAUCGGUGGUGGAACUGUCCUCACAGCACAUUGGUGGAGGCCAAGGCGAAAGCAUGGACGCUACGGGCAUCGUCGUUUACUCGUUGGAGGCGUCCUUUUUGUCUCCUCGUCAUGCCGUGUUUGGAUUUUGUGGGUGUAAACCUAGCCCAAGAUGAUGGUGGCGUAUAGCUUGACGUCGUGCCUCCUGAAGGCAUAUUAAUCCUUGGCAAUUUCAUAAUCAUGCUCCACUUUGUUAUGGACGGCCUUUGAGAAGUCGGAGCUGCUGCGUCGAGGUGGUUGAUGAGUUUGGCAACAAUAUAAAUCGGAAGUUGGAGCUGCUGUGCAGGUGCGAAUUUGGCAAUGAUGACCCAAGUAGGACCUCGCCCUUUGAGUUUUCGCUCUAGUGUGGGGUAGCAAUGCAAGCUUGUUGGUCGGCAAGCCUUUCCUGGCCUUAGCGUUUCCUAGCGAAGUUGGAGUCGCCUGUGAUGGUGUGAUGACAAUAACGUUGCGUAUCUGCCUUUGCGAGGAGCCUUGUUUAAUCUUCCAACUUGCUACUUCAUUUUGCAAGGUUUGUGGUGAAUAGCAUUUGUUGAACCUGGCUUUUCUGUUUUUCAUAGCCUUGUAGUUAAGAUUUGCCAUUUUCUGUUUGGUACAAUAGUUGUGGUUUUCACAUAGUUUUUCCUAAUUAACAAUGUAAUAUAAAGUUUGGUCUCGUUUUCUUCUUAAAAUGAGACAAAUACUUCUUUAUAUAAAUGUCGGCAAUGGCAUGACCUUUUUUUCUAAAAAAAAAACUAUUUGUUCACACGCGCGUACAUCAUACCUCAGUACACAUCUUUAUUUAUUCCAAACUAGCAGCAUACUAAUUAAGAAUCAAUACAGCUUAUAAAUAUAUAGCCUACAACACAUGAUUUAUUAUUGAAAUAAAACAUCAUUAGAAAUACUUGUUCCGGGACAGAUCUCAGGUACGCAUAACAUAACUAUACUGCUAUGCGUUACAACGUGUGUAUGCUUGCAUGUAUGCAAUAUCGUAUUGUACUAUACACGCAGCCUAUAUAUAUGCGAGAUUUAUUCAAUGCAUCGUGACCUUGGUGUACUUUGUCAAGUCGGUGGGGGCCUGCCUGUUGGCCUCGAGUGGAAAAUAGAACGGGUAGAUCUCGUAGCGCACCCAACAGCUACUAUAGUCAAUCUGGCACCCCUGCCCACUGCCGCAGGCCUCGGCAAACUUGGAAACCGUCGUUGACAGGCAUUGUGCGCACAGUGGUGGUGCCAGAUCCCGCGUGCAUUGUGCCAACGCAUAGACGUUCACGAAUGAUGUGCACUGCUCCUUCGCUCUGCCCAGCCCACCGCUACCCAUCGUGACAGCAUGCGCUACCGCUUUCCCCGUCGCCUUUCCUACUGCCUUCUGGAACGCCAUGGGGUUGUCCAUAUCCGGCCAUUGCCUCAGGGUCACACUUGCGUCUGUCCUCGUGUCCAUCUCCCCAAAGAAGUUGAAGUCAACGUACCGCAUGAAGCAGUACUCAUACCUGCAAGUACAUAUGUACAUUGCCCGCACAAGCACAUAAACAAAAGAACGUUAAACAACCAGCAUGUAAAAUCUAUAAUUUUUGCCACUCAAGUUUGCUCUCCGGUUCCUUCAAUUUUGAUGUUUUGGAUAAUAACACGGUCUAAAAAACAUAUCUUUCAACUAUAAUUUAUUUUAUUAUAAUAUACCCAAAAUAUAAGUAAACUUUUAAUUUUAUUUAAGCACUUCUUAAAAACCGAUCUAUACAUUAUGUUCUAGUGUUCUCAAACUAAAUAUUUUAAAGAUCACUAAUAGUUAAAGUUUAAAUUGUUUGACCUUAAUUUUAUCCAAAACGUUGAAAAUUAUAGAACCGAAGAGACUAUAUGACAUGUAGAAUUAUGACACACGCAUACCAUAUUCUGGAGUCUAAUGUAUAGUUGCAGUUGGUGACCAUCUGUUUGGCGGCUUGGGCGAGGCAGGCGUCGCAGUCGCCGCCGGAGACGUCGCCGCGGCACUGCGCGAGGCCGUAGAAGGCGUCGAUGCCCCUGCCGGCGGAGGAGGUGGCGAAUCCGCCGCCGGCGCGCGCCUUGGCGGCGAGGUCGGAGACGACGGAGUUGAUGCUGCGCCGCCUGGCGAUGGCCUCGCCGCUGCUCAUCUCGUUGUAGCUCGGAUUCCAGCAGAAGGUGCCAAUGGGAGACAUCGAUAUCGUAGUAGCCAUGGCCAUUGGGAGCAACAUUGCAGCCAACGAGAGAGCAACUAGUACCAGGCAGCAAUGGUGCGAUCUUCUGCUUGGUGACGCCAUGGAUGCUAGCUCCAAUUACUUCUCACACUCUCACUUCACCUUCUUGCCAGCUACUGGAGUAGUAGCUAGAGAUGUGAGCAGAUGUGUGUGGCUGGCUUGGGUUCAAUCGGGAGCAGUGGUUGGAGCUUAUAAAUUAAGACGAUCGAUCAAGCGCGCGCACUGGAUUGGAUGGGAAAUUAAUUAAGAGAGAUCGAUAUCAUGUGCUUGCGAUGCAGGGAAUAGUACAGGACAUAGUAUCAUAAUCCUUAUUGCAGACUUGUUUUGACUAUUCUAAUGGUUUCUAAUGUCGAGUCAGCCAUGAGCCAUGCUCGUCCAUGCACUGGCAGCGUGUGGGCACGAAUGUUACUCUUGCAGACUUGCGUCGCGGAUAUCGUGGACUAGCUCGCUGCCGACCUGCUUUUCAGGGACUACUUUUGCCACAGGGUUUUGAAUAGAAAUUUCGGAUAUUUCUAACGAUUAUUUUUUAAAAAAAUUAAUACAUUUUUACUGAAUUUGAAUAAAUUAUGAUCAAAUUCUCACAAUAUUUGAAAAAAAUUGAAUAUUUGCCGGACCGCGGGGGGGGGGGGGGGGGGGUGGGGGGCGAAAAUUUCUAAAAUUUUGAACCGAAAUUUUCAUCCAUGUUCAGAUGUACCCGGAGGCCAGAGACAAAUCCAUUCACGGUCCAUAGGACCAACACCAGUUGAUGCCUGCUCCAUCUAGAAUAGGAAUAUUUUGACUAAGCUUAUGCAUAUCACCUCACUUAUGCUGUCCCCCUUGCCCUCGGCUCACCCUAGCCCCGGGUACAUACUAUUGAGGGAUGAGGUUAAUUAGGGGUAGUAAGAAAGCUCAAAGUUAGUGGAACGAGCUUAGUUCCGAUCGGCUUGAACUCAAACUCUAAUGAUUUAUGAUUCAAACCAUGCUAUAUUUUUAGGCUCAUGAGUUAAUCAGUCAGUUCACGAUCGUCUUGUUUAACUCGUUAGUAGAAGAGAUCGUCAUAUUUUUAUAUACUUAGUGCAUCUUUACGAGUGUUUAAACUUCUAGUUAUAUCCAAACUAUUUGUACAUUUGUAUGUAUAGUAAGUUAUUCAUAAGUUAGUUUUAAUUAUUAUGUUAACAUAUAAUAUAAUAAAAUAGUAAAUUUAAAAUUACAAAGCUAAGCUAGACUUAACAAAGUUAACGAGUCAACUCACGAGCAAAGCUAAGCUACGAUUUCAGCUCAUUAUGCUCAAUGAGCCGAGUCAAGAUGGCUCGUCGAGAUAAGAAGAUCAAAUGAACCAAGUCUUAGCGAGCCAAGCUGACUUGUUAUCCACCAUAUAGAUGAGGUGAUGGGUGGAUGAAGCCUAUCCUUAUUAAAUCAGACUAACCAUCUAGAAUUAAGUGCUCAAUUGCCUAUUACAGUACUCAAUCUAUCCAAACAAAACAACCUAUUAGUGAAUAAAGUUGAAAAGCUAAAAAUCUAUUCGGUUUGCACAGGAGUACCGUAUAACCUUCUUGCCUUCGAGAUCCGAUUGGAAUUGAGUUUUAUUGAAGUUGUUUUCGGUGAAUUUGGUUGGAUGAAAGGCAAAUGCACUAUCCAAAAUUUUGCCAGUUAGUCAUUUUAGUGGUACUCCUAAGGCAAAACAUAGAAGGAAGGUACAAUUAAUCUCAUGUUUCCGCAACCAAGUGCCCAAAACCCGGUAGCCCAUGAGAAUCGUAUUGUGCAAACGUGCAACCAAGUACCCAAUGCCCCGUGCAAGCAUUGGGCUUGUUUGGGGGAGCUUCUAGCUGCUGCAGCUUCUCCCAAAAUCAGAAGCUCCCUCAAACAAUCAACUUUUGAUCCAGAUUCUGAGAAGAAGAUGUAGUUGUAGAAUCUAGAAGAUAAACUAGAACCCAGAAGUUGGCUACCAAUCAGUUGUUUCUUAAAAUUUUAAGCUCCCCAAAUAGAAUUAUUUUCAUCCACACCUCCACCUCCACCUCCAUAUUCACAUCCACAUCUAUGUCAAACUCAAACAUACACAUUCACAUUACUGUGGCGCUCAUUAAGAAUGGCCGCUAAACUUGCCCAAUUAAUUUAUUGCGAGAAAAUAUGAGAACAUAAGUUUCUGAUAUUGUACAACAUGCCCAAUACACAUCUUUAUUAAUUUAUUCCAAACAAACUGCAGCUAGCAUGAUAAAUAAGGGUGAUACAACUUUAUACAUAUAUAACCUUUUACAUAUGAUUUAUUCGUUGCAUACAUAUUCCUGAAAUUAAACAUAAACAUAAAUACUAUUAUUGGGAUUGAUCUCACAUCUGCAUAUACUGCUACACGGUACGACGUAUAUAUGUAUGUAUGCAUUAUCGCAUUGUACGCAUAGCCUAUGUAUAUGCUAGAUUUAUUUAGUGCAUGGUGACCUUGGUGUACUUGGACAUGUCGAUAGUGGCACGACUGCCUGCCUCGAGUGGGAAGUAGAAGGGGUAGAUCUCGUAGCGCGCCCAACAGCUGCUGUAAUCAAUCUGGCAUCCUUGAGCGCUGUUGCAAGUUUUGUCAAACUUGGACACUAUCUCCGAUAGGCACCGUGCGCACGCUGGCGGCGCUAGGUCUCGCGUGCACUGUGCUAACGCGUAAACACUCACAAACGGCGUGUACUGCUCCUUCGCCCUGCCUAGCCCACUCCUACCCACUGCAACAGCUUGUGCUGUCGCCUUUCCCAUAGCUUUCCCCGCUGCCUUCUGGAAUGCCUUGGGGUUGUCCAUGUUCUGCCAAUUUAUCAUGGUCACGCUUGCAUCCUCCCUCGUAUCCACUUCCCCGAUGAAGUCGUAGUUGUAGUACCGCAUGAAGCAGUAUUCGUACCUGUAAGUACAUAUGCACAUCACCCGCGCGCACAAGCACAUAAAUAAGGAGAAAAUUAAACAAUCGACGUGAAAUCAUGUGUACUCUCUUAUGUUCCAUCAUUCUUAAUGUUUGGGACAAUAAUAUGGUCCUUAAUACGACUUCUACAAUGAUUUUUACAUAUUAUAAUAUAAAAAAAAGUAAAAUUUUAAUUUUUUUAAAAGUAAUUUUAAAGAAUAAUGUAUAUAUCAUGUUCUAAUAUUUGCUUUCAAACUAAAUAUUAUAAAAAUCAUAGAUAGUUAAAGUUUCAAUUAUUAGCUUGUCAAACCGUUGGAACUAGAUCGAGAUACAAUAUACUAGCAUGUAGAAUUAGGAUCCAUAAUAAUAGCAUACCAUAUUCUGGAGUCUGAUGUGUAGUUGCAGUUGGAGACAAUCUGCUUGGCGGCUUGAGCGAGGCAGGCGUCGCAGUCGCCGCCGGAGACGUCGCCGCGGCACUGCGCGAGGCCGUAGAAGGCGUCGUACCCCCUGCCGGCUCUGGAGGUGGCGAAUCCGCCGCCGGUGCGCGCCUUGGCGACGAGGUCGGAGACGACGAAGUUGACGCUGCGCCGCCUGACGACGGCCUCGCUGCUGUUGAGAUCGCCGUAGUUCAUCCCGGACUCCGAGCAGAAGCUGCCGAUGGGAUACGUCGUCGCCGCCAUGCCCAGUGGGAGCAAUGCAGCGGCCAAAAAGGCUGUAACUAGUACCAGCUGGCUUAAUGCCGCCAUGGA
rnacentral:lncRNA from 1 species